rnacentral:rRNA from 1 species
GACGAACGCUGGCGGCGUGCUUAACACAUGCAAGUCGAACGGAAAGGCCCUGCUUUUGUGGGGUGCUCGAGUGGCGAACGGGUGAGCAACACGUGAGUAACCUGCCCUUGACUUUGGGAUAACUUCAGGAAACUGGGGCUAAUACCGGAUAGGAGCUCCUGCUGCAUGGUGGGGGUUGGAAAGUUUCGGCGGUUGGAGAUGGACUCGCGGCUUAUCAGCUUGUUGGUGGGGUAGUGGCUUACCAAGGCUUUGACGGGUAGCCGGCCUGAGAGGGUGACCGGCCACAUUGGGACUGAGAUACGGCCCAGACUCCUACGGGAGGCAGCAGUGGGGAAUAUUGCACAAUGGGCGGAAGCCUGAUGCAGCAACGCCGCGUGCGGGAUGACGGCCUUCGGGUUGUAAACCGCUUUCGCCUGUGACGAAGCGUGAGUGACGGUAAUGGGUAAAGAAGCACCGGCUAACUACGUG